AUUGAACGCUGGCGGCAGGCCUAACACAUGCAAGUCGAACGAGUGGCGGACGGGUGAGUAAUGUCUGGGAAACUGCCUGAUGGAGGGGGAUAACUACUGGAAACGGUAGCUAAUACCGCAUACAAUAAGAUGUGCCCAGAUGGGAUUAGCUGGUUGGUGGGGUACCGGAUCACCCAGGAGACGAUCCCUAGCUGGUCUGAGAGGCUGACCAGCCACACUGGACCUGAGACACGGUCCAGACUCCUACGGGAGGCAUCAGUGGGGAAUAUUGCACAAUGGGCGCAAGCCUGAUGCAGCCAUGCCGCGUGUAUGAAGAAGGCCUUCGGGUUGUAAAGUACUUUCAGCGGGGCGCCGUUACCCGCAGAAGAAGCACCGGCUAACUCCGUGCCAGCAGCCGCGGUAAUUC
rnacentral:rRNA from 1 species